ACACAUACCACAAAACACUCACUCCAGUCACCACAAACACCACACACACAACACACAUUCCAUACAUACACACAUACUACAAUAAUAUACCUCACAUAUAUACCACAUGAUAUAUUACACAAACAAAAAAACACACAUGUCAGCCGGGCACAGUGGCUCAUGCCUGUGAUCCCAGCACUUUGGGAGGCUGAGGCAGGUGGAUCACGAGGUCAGAAGUUCAAGACCAGCGUGACCAACAUGGAGAAACCCUGUCUUUACUAAAAAUACAAAAUUAGCUAGGUGUGGUGGUACAUGCCUGUAAUUCUAGCUAUUCGGGAGGCUGAGGCAGGAGAAUUGCUUGAACCCGGGAGUUGGAGGUUGCGGUGAGCCAAGAUCGCACCAUUGCACUCCAGCCUAGACAACAAGAGUGAAACUUCAUCUCAAAAAAAAACACACACACACACACACACACACACACAUGUCACACAGCACACAUGUAGACCACAUUCUCCCCCAUGCACACACAGACCUAUACCAGAAACAGCCACACACACACACACACACACACACACACACACACACACGGGAGCAAGAGCACCGCAGACUCCGGGCAGCCCCCAGCCAUGGCUUGCUAAUUGCCUAUCUUCCUGCAGGCCUGUUUAUCAUCUCUCCCCAGCACUCAGGCACCAAAUGAAGAUAGAUUCCAGGAAGCUUUGAAAUGUUCCAAAUGCAGAAGCCUCCCAAUCACACGCUUUGAAGAUUAGAACAAGUUUUAAUUCCCCUCCUCUCAACCCAGGCUUUUGAAUUGUUUUUUUAAUUAUUCCUCUAAAAAUGCUCUGUACCCCAUGACUGUAAGAACAACACUGGCUCAUUGUGAGGGCUGUCAUUCAUUCAGCUCUAACUAUGUGCCGGAAUGUGAUAAGCGCUCACCCGUGCUUCCUCCUCAUAUCCCGGUGGCAGCCCUAGGAGGGAGGCUUGACUUUAUCUGCAUAGAAUCCCUACUUCAUAGAACAGGAGAGAGAGUCCCAGAGAGGCCAAGGAGUGGCCACAGAUCAGGACAGAUCAUGAACUGCAGUGGGUGAUUCCAGGCUGUCUCAUCCAGAAUCCAUUUUUGUAAACCUCAGGCAAUAAUGGCUCCUAUGGGUUGUAGGUAAUUUGCAACAUACAGGAAGGAACAAUACUUCUAGAAUAGUCUACUGUCUACAUUUUUUUGUGGAUUUAUUUUCAAUUUAUUGUUAUAAAUGUAUUUUAAAGAAGGGGUUAACAUUACCUAUAUGAUUUGUGUAUGCAGCUCUUUUUCAUGAAUGGUUCAUUUCUAAGACUUAAAACCCAGAGAGGAGGAAAGAGGAAAUGAGGAAGGAAACACAGAGGGGUUUGCGUUGAGUCGAGCCCAAAGGUUUGCGGGCUAGUGGUGUUGCCUUUCUAUGGACCAAGAGAGAGAAAACCAGAAGUUUUCUAGGGGUAAAAGGAAAUGGUUUGGAGUCAGAUGACCCAGGUAUGGGGAGUGACUUCAUCCCUGCCAGUUCCUGGGGACAGGGACUCUGCAGGGUUGUCUGCCAGCCACCAGAGCUGUCUAGGAUUUCUGUGCACCCCCACCUGUCAAGUGGGGUUGGGGAGCUCCAGCUCACAGGUUGAUGGUGAGGACUCACACAGGGCAUGCAUGCUAAGGGCUUGGCCUCGUGCUGUACAUGGGGGCUAAGUAAAGCUUCCCUGUCUUCUAUACAUAUAUAUCCCUUUGAGAAUAGUGGAAGUAACAUCUCACCCAUGUCAGAGCCUGUCCAGUGCAUGAGGGCCCAGGGAUUUCCUCACUUUCCACAGUGGGAGUAAGUGGUGGGGCAGCAGGCAACCCCUUUCUCCAGAAUGUGGACAUGGAAUCUACUGAGAGGAAGGGCAUGUCCUCUUGAGGAAGGAGCCUUUAUUCACUCCACAUCCCAUCCCUUGGCAAACACACACCCACACCUGGAGCAGCAUCUGGAGGCCGCCCUUCACACCUUCCAAGCUGUCAGCCAGCUCUGAGCGCCAUCGUUGCCUGGAGGAUUCUGUUAGCCCCUGGCUGGCUCCCUUGUUUCUGCCUUUGUCCCUUACAGUCAUCCACAAUCCGGCAGCCAGGGGGGUCCUGGGAAAGCCUGAUCAGGUCAGGUGGCUUCUCUGCUCAAGACCAUCCAAUGUCUCCCUCUCUCCAUCAGGGACACAAAGUCCCUAUGUGUCCAGCCUCCCUGCCUCACCUGGCCCGGGACCUCUCUGACCUGUCUCCUGCGACCUUCUCCUCCAGCCUCCCAGCCCUCUCUGUUCCUCAGAGUCUUCCUUAUCUGCCACUGUGCCUGCCCUUAAUUGCCCCAGGCCUGGUUAACUAGGCUACAUGAUCACCAGCAGCUAAACAGCAGCACUCUCCCCCCAAUACUCCCCAUCCCCCUGCCUGACAUAUUUUCCCAAGGCUUAAUGUUGACUAGUAGCUAUAUCUGCAUCUACCUCCACUUUUACCUCUCUCUCUCUCUCUCUCUAGUAUAAUUGCAUAAUUGCCCCCACCCAGUGGGACAUAAUUUCUAAGUGGGCAAGGAGUUUAUUUGCUCACUGCUGUAUCCUGAAUAUUGGCAUAGUGCCUGCCAUAGUCUUCAACAAGUAUCUGUGGAAUGAAACAAAACACCACCAAAUGAACAGGGAGGUAAAUGGAGACAGAAUGGUGGUACUAGAAUUAAUGUACGAAGCUCUGUGGUCUAGUGUGUGAUGUCAACCAUCUUCCCUGAUCUCUUAGGACAUCUGCAGGGACGGAUCUGUUUCCCACCCCUGCCUGUGGCCUUGGCAUGACUAGUGGCUGCACUGACAUUCCGAUUCCCACUUUGGGGUGGGUGCGGGCUGGGAAGAGAGGCUUCCUUGGGGUUGCGCCAUUUCUCCUCCCCACAGUCCGGAUCUCUGCCCCCUCCCCCAUGGGGACUGAAGGGCCACCCCUGUGAAAGCCAGUGCCAACUUGAGAGAGAAGUGGAUGGAGCAGGGACAGAUGUCCCCUCCCUCUCUUUCACCCAAGGAAUGGAAAACUCUGCCCGGAGAUUCACUGGAAGAAACUGUGUGGAGGGUCGGGCUGGGGGGCAGGCGGGAGGAAAUAAUACACAUUCAUCAUCCCCCUUUGGAGCCUGCCCCGAGGCUUCAGGCAGCACCUGGGAUGUCACUAACAGCUGGUCCCAGGGGAAGAGGUAAACGGUUGCAGCUGACAGGCUGCUGUGGGACAGGCAGGGCCAAUCAGAACUCAGGUCUGUGUCCCAGAGGCCCGCCCAGCUGGCUUAGUCAUCUGAGGGCAGGGUCCUGAGAGCACAGGGGGAGGGAGGUCAAUUGCCACAUUGUAGCUCAUUUGAUUCUGGGUGGGUGGAAGGAAAAACCUGAGAGGGUAUGUCAGCGUUGGUCACGAGCAUGUCAGGCGCUGCAUGACGCAGGCGGGCAGGCGCCUCUGGUUCCAGGCGGAGAGAGGGACUGGCAGUCCCCCAGAGGGGUCUGUGACAGGGAGCAGGUGCCGGAGCCAGGGGCUCCAACUCGUCAUUUAGCUGCUGCAUGAAUUAUUUAUGGACGGCUGUAAAACACACACACAGAGCUGAGCAUCCUUUUGCCAUCUUUCAGCUCUGUACUCUUUUCUGUACUGUGAAGGUCGAGGCUCCGUCUGAUCAUGGACAGGAGUGGCGCUGAGAUCCUCACACUUCGCUUUCAUAGUCUCCAGAGAUGAUAGGGGCUCAGCCUGUGGCUGGCUCUCAGCAGUACUCGGUGCUCUUGUGUAAAUGCCUGGCCCUCUUUCACAGCCCUUCCUUCCUUUUCCUGAUUUUUCUCUUUGUUCCUAGCUAUUCUGUGUGCCUGGAGGAAGGGUUCUGCCCUGUCACUAUCUGGUGUUCCUGCCCCUGCAGCUCCCAGGUCCCCGGCCACCUCUAGGUGGAGGCUUUCUGAAGCCCAGGACACAGCGUCUGAACCCACAGCUUCUGGCCAGGGAUCGGAUUUGCAGCCUUCAUCUCUCCUGAUGUGCUGUCAGGAAGGAGAAAGCAGAGAAAGGGAGCUGAGUUUUUUGUUUGUUUGUUUUCACUGCCAAAACAACAACACACACACAAACCCAACCAGGUUGAUGUGCAGGCUGUACUCUAAGAAAACAUUCCAGAAAGUUCUCAGGCAUUUCCAGCUACUCCUGUAAAUGGCAGAUCUGAAGCUGAGAGUUUCCCAUUAGAAGGCUCAGUCUCCUAAGCACCUGCCUUCCCUCUUGCCUUCAACAUGCUGAGACCCUCCUGUGACAAGGACGUUCUGAUGGCCAUGGCAGCCCAGCCUGUCCGGCACCUUUGCACCUGUGGACCCUUCACUUACAACCCUAUUUCUCUCACUGCUUUCUUUCAAAAUCCCACUUUCCUUGUCAGGUACCCAUCAAGUCCUCUCCUCUCUGUGGGGUCUUCCCUUACCUUCCUAACUGGGGUGUGCCUUCCUGGCCACUGUUUAAUUUACAUUCCAUGCAAACCAUAUCUCAAACUCUCCUGGGGCCUAGUAUCAUUUCCCUAUUUUAUGGCUGAGCCUCUCCAGGCUUCUACUUGGAGAAAACACCCAAGGGCACUUAGCUACUAAAAUGCCAUCAAAAUACAUGGGACCAUACUAGAGUUAGGUGUGCAGCGAUAUGUAACAGCUGUAUUUUCUAGAUUUCCUCUCAAGCCACAUCCUGCUUGGAGUAAAGGAUUGGGCUCUUCAACUUGUCAAUUUACAGUGUAUCUUUGCUUUAUUUUCUUCAGUUUAAGGCGUCUUGUAUACUUAUUCUAGCUCCUCCAUGUACAUUUUCUGCUCUUUGGAUUUAUCUUUUUCCCCAGGUUGGCUUCGUGUUUAGGGUCUUCAUGACCUUGUAGCCACAGGGUGGCUGGCGAUCUGCACGUGGUGCUGAUGGUACCCAGUCAGUUCUGAGCUUCCCCUAGAGGCAUGUGGCAGCAAACACCUCCCACCCUUGGUACCAUGCUUCUUGUUUAACCUGUACGGUGCUGUGACAUUUACUGAGAACACCGUAGCUGCCGAGCACUGUGCCCAGAUUCUGUCGUCGUCAGCACAACCAAGAGUUGGUAUGAUUAUCCCUCUCUUACAGUUGGGAAAACUGAGGCUCAGAGAGGUUGAGUGACUGCCCUGUCCACACCCCUUACCUAGGGUGUCAGCUGAGAGAGGAGGUUUUCCCACCGGAACUACUCUCCUUCUCCACUUUCUUCUGUGUGCCCAGGAGGCUGAACUACAUUAUGAUAGGCAGAAUAAUGGCCCCACAAAGAUGUCCAUGUCCUCUUUCCUGUGAAUGUGUUAUGUAUAUGGAAAAAGGGAAUUAAGGUUGCAGAUGGCAUUGAGGUUGGAAAUCAGCUGACCUUGAGGGAGAUUACCUUGGAUUACCUGGAUGAGUUCAAUGCAGACACAAGGGUCCUUUAUGGCAAGGGGAAGGCAGCAGGUAUCAGACUCAGGGCAAUGCCGUGUGAAUGUGGAGGCCUCUGGAAGCUGAGUAAAUAAGGGAAGAGAUUCUCUUCUGGAGCUGCCAGAGAGAUGCAGCCCUUCUGCACUUUGAUUUUAGGCCACUGACGCUUGUUUUCACAUCUACGUCCUGCUGUCAGAACUGUAAGACAAUAAAUUCAUGUCGUUUUAAGCCACCAAGUUUGUGGUUGCUCAUUGCAGCAGCCAGAGGGAAGUAUGCAGAUACAAACCGCCUCCCCUGGCGCCCUCGCGCUCUGCUCCCAGGAGUUCUGUCCAGUGGGGAGCAACAGCAGGAGAUUGGGAGGAGGAAGAGGGAGAGAUCGAGGUGUUGACUCCCUCACUGCCUCCCUGUAGCAUCAUUGAGGGCUGGAGCUGUCCCUUGACCAAAAGUCCUAGCUCCUGCCUGCAGCCCUCCCUGCAUAGCCCUCUCCACUUCAGUGCCAGGAGUGGCCCUGUCUCUUGCUGUGUGGGGCUUCAGGGUAGUAACUGUGCUCUGGUGCAGCCGACUCUCCCUGUGGUUUCUCCACACUCUAUGUCCCUUUUGCUGAUAAUUCCUGUAUGUUACACCCUCCUCAGGUCACCUGGUCAUCAGUAUCCUGCCGUGAUCCUGACAGAUGAUACCAAUGGGCAUGCCCACUGCUCCACCUUCCGUGCAGGGGUAGCCCUGCCAGGGGUCCUCAUCCAGUGCAGGUUAGCCCCAUGGCCCACGUGGCUAAGCCCUUCCCGUGUGCUCAUUAUUGCUCAACUCAUCCUAUGAAGCCCCGCUGAGAUGCUGCCUGCUCCCGACAGCCCUCUUGGAGCGGCCUCUUUGGAGUUAACCUCUCCUUUAUGUUUCCCUGGAGAUGUGUCUGCAAAAUGCUGCUAUGACAACCAGCUUCAAAUGAAGGAAUCAGGUUGCAGGAAUGAAUUGGAGAUGGUAAAUAUGGGGGAUUUUAUUGCCAAUGGAAGUGACUCUCAGGGGGAAAGGGACCUAAAAGGAAGAUGGAGCGGGAAGGUAAGCUUCCCCUGGAGUCCAGCCGGGGACUCUCUGAAGCUACAUCAUCAAGUGGGCCUCUGGAGUCAAGCUGCUUUUCUCCAAUAUCCAACUGUAGCCAUGUGGUCUUGCUCCAGAAAUGUGUGUGCUUCCUUCUGACUGGCCUGAUCUCUACUCAGCACCUCUUGUCUAGAAUUCAAGGCUUUUGUUUGCUUUUUAUUUCCUGCUUCCUCAGAGCUUCAGUGUUCGCCAGGCUCAACAUGGUCUCUCCAGGCAUGAGCUUUCAGCUGGGCAUUGUCAGAGAUGAACAUCUUAUCAUUUUCCAUGGAGCAAAUCAAUGGCCACCCUUCCUGGCUAAGAACCCUGGGUUUCAACUUCUCUCCCAGCAGAGGGGAAAUUCCUGAGCCAAGCCCUGGCGUCGAGGAACUGUCAGAGUCGCUUGAACCAAAGCAACUCCAUCCUGAAUAGGGGCUGGGUAAAAUAAGACUGAGACGUCCUGGGCUUGCAUUCCCAGACGAUUAGGCAUUCUAAGUCACAGAAAUGAGACGGGAGGUCAGCACCAGAUACAGGUCAGAGAGACUUCGCUGAUAAAACAGUUCACAGUAAAGAAGCCAAAACCCACCAACACCAAGAUAGUGACGAGAGUGACCUCUGGUCAUCUUCGCUGCUACACUCCCACCAGUGCCACCAUAGUUUACAAAUGCCAUGGCAACAUCAGGAAGUUACCCUAUAUGGUCCAAAAGGGGAGGGAUGAAUAAUCCACCCUUUGUUUAACAUCAAGAAAUAACCAUAAAAGUGGGCAACCAGCAGUCCUUGAGGCUGCUCUGCCUAUGGAGUAUCCAUUCUUUUAUUCCUUUAGUGUUUUAAUAAACUUGCUUUCACUUUAUGGAUUGGCCUCAAAUUCUUUCUUGCAUGAGAUCCAAGAACGCUUGGAGUCGACUGAGACCACUUGACAGUAACAAAACUUCCUUCAGGUCCUGAAUCCUUUUUCUUUCCAAUAGUCCUCAUUAGAAUACGAUUGCUUCUGGGACCUGGGACAACUGGUUUGUUCCAAUCAUUUAAUACCUAAGACAGGACCAGUGGUCCCCUUGAGACCUCCAUUACCCCUUGGCUCAGGCUGGGUUCCCUAGGAGGGAGGGGUGCAGGAAUCAGGGUGAGUGCUUUUGAGCAUUGGCAGGAGUGAAAGUCCAUUGGAUUCGCCUGAGGGGAGGAUCCAGGUGCCUGUGAUUUAAUGAGGAGGGCAGCUCUUCAGGAAAAACCUGUGAGGGAAUAACAAGGGUGGGGUAUGGUGAAUUCUGUGCAUCUUGGCCAUGCUCUAGUACCCACUAAUUCCAUUAGACAUGGAUCUAGGUGUUGCUGUGAAGGUAUUUUGCAGAUGUGGUUAACAUCGACAACCAGCUGACGUUAAAGAAGCGUUAUUCCAGAUAAUCUGGAUGGGACAUCAUCCAGUCAAUGAAAGACCUUCAGAGCAAAAUAAGGUUUGCCUGAGGAGAAAGAGGCACCACUGCUGACCUCCUCCCGGACCACCUGCAGACUUAGACUUACCAGCCUCCAACACAUGAAAUAAGUACUUAAGGCCCCUCCUCUGGGCUAGUCCUUCACUAUCAGCGUGAAGCCUGGAAGACUGGAAGGAAAGAGAGCAAGGAGGAUGCGUGUUUGUUUUGAUUCUGGCUCUUUCUCCAACCUUGGUAAGUGGUUUGACAUCCCUGAGUCUUAGCUUUCUCUCUGUCAUAGGGUCAUGUUAUGCAGCCCAUGCAGUGUUGAGGGCGUUAGAUGUAGUGUAUGUCGUAUGGUAAGCUGAAUCCUUAACCCCAGUUCUCCACCCCUUGACGUAUCCAGGACCACUGUCAGGCAACUUUGCAAUUCCUCCCACCGAAAACCAGAGGAACUUCCCCACCAUUUGACCUCGGGUUCCGCCAUGUGGCUUAUUUGGACCAGCGGAAUAUUAGUAGAUGUGACAGUGUGUUCAUGCAGCAGGGCUUGUGGUCUUCCACCUCCAUCGUCACCCAGAGAAGAACAUGCCCUGGCCAGCCCAUUUGCCCAGGAGAGCAAGAGACAUGGAGCAGAUCAAGUGGCACACAUGCAGACCUACUGCUUGAGGAAGAGCCUCCAGGUCAAGCCCUGCCAGGCUCACGAAGCCCCCAGGGUAUCCCGACGGUGUGUGACAAACAUGCUUAUUAUUGUAUGUCACAGACUCUGUGGUUGUUAGACUAAUAUGUAUUAUAAAAGCAACUCAUCUGGCACCCGUAGGCAUUCAACAGAUGCUGACUGAUAUAAGAAGGUGUAGAAUACAAAUGGUAUGACGUUCUCAGUUGUCACAAAUAAAUGAAGCAUGAAAGGAUUAAUGGUGAAGACUCAGAGGCAUUUAGAAAUGUUACUCUAGGGCCAGGCAUGGGGGUUCGUGCCUGUGAUCCCAGUGCUCUACGAGGUGGAGGCAGGAAGAUCACUUGAGUCCAGGAGGUCAAGGUUACAGUGAGCUAUGUUUGUGCCACUGCACUCCAAUCUGGACAACAGAACAAGACCCUGUUUCUUUUAAAGAAUGUUACUUUAGAGAAGAAUCACUUUCUCCAAAUAGGGCAUCUCUUCUUUGCUUAAAAAUAAAGUAAUAGAAGUGAUAUUAGACCCUUUCAAUCUAACCCGGGUCAGGUGCUGCCUUCUAACCUAAUCAAACCUUUACUUGCCCCAUUUAAAUGCAAUUACUGUUUGCACUAGCCUGUGAGCCCUGAGGGUGGAGAUUGAGUCUUUAUGCAUCCUUGGAAUCCCGGAGCCAGGUAAGCCCAGCAGAGAACUGGUUCUUUCUGUGUGUGUAAAACUACUAAACUGAAUAGUUCAGUGGAAGCAUUUUGUCUUAAAAUCUCCCUGUGGUCCUGUCCUUCAGGGAAAUGUCACCAGUCCCAGAAGGCCAGAUAAGACCAGCUGAUGCCAGCGUCUUUGAGGGUUAGCAAUGCUAGAUGGAGCCAGUAAGUCCUAGGUCUGGCCUGAAUGGGGCUGGCCCAUAGUUGGAUGAAGGAAAAGGUGUGGCUGGCGUUGCCAUGCCUGUCCCCUUCCUGCUCCCCUUGCGUUAUCAUUAGCCACAGACAGGGCUUGGCUUCCCUGAGAGCCCAGCCCUGCAGCAGUAGCUGCCUGCCUGGCUUCACCAGCCCUGCUGCGGGUCAGCCUCAGGCUCAACCCAGCUGGCAGAUUAUCAGCAUUUACAGGCAGUGGCAGGUGGGGUCUGGGAGUCCUCAGAGCACCCAAGCCCAGCAUCAGGUGCGCCAGGAGUGAGCCUGGUGCUCACAAGACCACCACCAGCAACAACCUUUUUUGCUUUGUCGCAAGGUGCAUGCUUUUUUGUAAAUCAGUUUUGCCUGAGUUCCUGUCUUUUUGUUUUUGCCAAUUUUCUACUUUAUCUGCAGCCCAGUGCCGAACCUCAGCAAAUGCUGCAGAGCCCUGACUACCCGACUGGCCCUUGAAGCCCAAGUUUCUGGGAUUAGACCCCCUAUUCCUAUGAACUAUGGUGCCCCUAAGCUGCCAUUGUAUCCUCAUCUCCUGGCCUGGUACCUUGGAUCAGUAUGUGUUUGUUGAAUGAAUAAAUGAAACUAGAUAGAAGUCUAUGGCUGCCACAGAAUGGACUGCUGCUUGCCAAAUUCAACCCUUCACUAUAUCAGUAUAUCAGCUUUUAUGUGACUCAAGCUCAAGUUCUCCAGGCUCCUUGAACACUAAAAAUUGGAUAUCUGGCUAUCUCUAGGGACCAGCUUUAAAAUGGGGCCAGUAUAUUCAGUUCCAGUCUCCUGCCUUUCCCAAGUGCUUAUUGCUGAAAUUCCAGCCUGCCCUACACCAAUGGAGCUGUGCUGUUAGUGCACGAGAGUGCUGGGGAGCAACUGUGUUGCCCAUGAUUUAAUUGCUUCUAGGGCACCAAGGGUUUGAUAUCUUCCAAUAUGCCAGUAAGAGAGCAGCACACACACCCAACAUCACUUAAGGUCUUAUACAUAUC